CGUCGAGUGGCGGACGGGUGAGUAAUACUUAGGAAUCUGCCCAUUAGUGGGGGACAACUCGGGGAAACUCGAGCUAAUACCGCAUACGCCCUACGGGGGAAAGCGGAGGACCUUUCGGGGCUUCGCGCUAAUGGAUGAGCCUAAGUCGGAUUAGCUUGUUGGUGAGGUAAAGGCUCACCAAGGCGACGAUCCGUAGCUGGUCUGAGAGGACGAUCAGCCACACUGGGACUGAGACACGGCCCAG
rnacentral:rRNA from 1 species